rnacentral:lncRNA from 1 species
GUGCGUCACCCGAGGCCCCGUGAGCGUCCUGCGCUCCCACCCCAGGUGCAGUCUUACCCCCGGCAUGAUUAUCUUCUCAACGUCCUGAAGGAUGUCCUCAAACGUGUCUGGCUCCUGGGGACUCCGGCCCUGUCGUUGUCCGCUCUGUGCCGAGACACGCUGGCUCUGGGGGCUGGAAGGCGGUGGGGACGCUGGGGAGUUCGUGCUGAAAUCACUCACUCUCCCGGCCUUUCCGAUCCACGCCUCCUGGCCUUUUGAGCCUCAGAUGCUGGUUAAACAUUAAUUUCUUCUGGUGGAAAGGUCGAGAUAAUCUUGAGAAAGCCCCUCAUCUCUGGGGAACCUGGGAAAUGCUCCCCCACUCAGAGUGUGUUUGCUCUCCAGCCUUUUAAUAUUUCACACUUUCAGAUGUUUCCUUUAGAGCUUUCCUCCGCCUGAAAUUUGCUGUGGGGUAAAAGGCAUGAGAUACACCCCUGAUUCUCUCCCCCAGAGAAUAAGCUCAUUCUUCCAACAUUACUUUUGCCAAAAGGUCCUCCCCUCAUAUCUCCCUUUCUUGAGCUCGCUGUUGUGAUUCUAUGAAAUUUUUCUUUCAUUUCUGUGCCAGGGCUACAGUGCUGAAACUUUAG